AGUCUCAAGCAGGUUAAGAAGAAUAAGAUCAUAACCUACAAUUUCUGCUUUGUUUUUCUCACGGUCAAUGUUUUUGAGGGUGUUUUUGUUGUGGAAUGAUCAUGUAGUAAAAAGGGCAACAAUUAUUGUUUUACUUUUUUGUGCAUAAGUGAGAAUUGUUGGCAGAUUGCCUGCAUCCAAAUGCCGAAAAGAAAGUGCAAGUUUAAUGAUGAAUUGGAAGCCAAAUAUCCCAUGUUCAAGGCAACAAAAUUCGACAGUGAAGUGUUUUGUACACAAUGUAGUCCCAGUUUUUCAAUUGCAAACAAAGGGAGGCAUGAUCUAGAGCAAUCGCUCGUUUCUGUACCUAAUGUUUUUUUUGCCAUAAUAAUUAAAAGUCAUAUUUUUUCACCUCUUUUUAGGGUGUCCUCUUUUUCUGUGAAGCAAAUCUGGUCACCCUAAUUUCCAAGUGAGAUUUAUAUUCAAAAAUCGUAAAAUUACAUCUAGUCUCAUGAAAUUUCCUCAAUUCUCUAACAAAAUCAAUAAAAUUUCAUUAUAAUUUGAAUUCAAACACACAUUGAUUAGUAAUUUUCGUCCGCUUUCGUAGCUUCUAUAAACAAAUUUUUUGUGUGCCUGAAGUAUUAAUAAACUCAUCAGUGCUAAAUAUAGUUGCAAUAUAAUGAUAUAGUAAUUUCACCUACUUUUCAUAACGGUUUUAUUAGUAUCAAGGACGUUAAAAAAAGUCGGUUAAAAGAUUAAUUAAUUACAGCAAAUAUUGGGUGUUACAAAAAUGUUUAUUUUCCUUUUCGUGUGAUGAGAAAUCGAUUUUUUAUUUACACUAUUAGAUAAUCCAAUAGUUCUUUAGUAAUGUAAAGAUAAUAAACAAAAUUCAACACAGUGUGAAUUUAGAAAAAAAGAUGAAUUGCAUAAUAUUCCGCGAAUCAAUUAUUAACAUAUAUGUAAAUUUGAUGAAUCAAUAUUAAAACUUUUAUAAGUAAACAUUUGUUAAAAAAAAUUAUAUACAGCGUGUAGUUAGUAGUGAAAAAAGUAUCAAGAUUCAACAUGUGAAAUAUUAAUGAUGUGAUAAAUACAGUAUGGUGCAAAUGAAAAGAAUAAAUUCGUUAUUAAGUACUCAAAUUGUUUACCUUCAGCUAAAAUACAAUGAGAACUCGUCUCGAACCUUCGGAGUCAAAUCAGGUGACCUAGGGGCCAUUCUCUUGGAUUUGGAAAGACGUUGUUCAAAUAGUUGCACAGCAAUACAGCAUAGUGUGGAGGCGCAUUAUCUUGCUGCAGCCAUGAAUCAUUUCUGGUUGAAAACAGCCGAUUCAAUUCAGGUAGCAAGAAGUUUUGAAGAAAUUCUAAAUAUCCAGGUCCUUAAUCUUCGAAAAAGUAUGGUCCGAUAAUCAUAUUAUCUAUUAUUCCCAUCCAAACAUUAACUUUCUCUGUUUGACGAUUUUCAUGACAGUUUAGUAGAAAUGUAGCUUCAUCCGAGAAAAACCCUCGGGAAGAACACACCUUGUAGUCUUUACAUCAUACACUAAAGUUAAUUUGUAGGAAUGCUACUUUUCCUUCUUUAGCUUUCUAAGAACUGUUGAAUGGUCCAUGUCAUUAUCUAAUGCUACUUGCCUUGAACUGGUAUGGAGAUUAUCAUGAAAGGUUAACAGAACAUCUAAUUGUUUGUUUUCUGAUAUUGGUUGUCUACUAUCUUUAGGGAGGUCUUUGACAUUUCUCUGAAUUUCUUCUCAAUUUUGCUUAUAGUGGAUUGUGAAAUUGGUUCUCGAUUGAGGUAUUUAUUAUCAAAUAAUGUAGAUACUUCUUUCUGCAUAGGUGCUUUAUCUCCACAACCAAUCAUUAUUAGAAUUUCAAUUGUUUGUGUUUCAGUCAGCUUCAUGUUGAUAAAUACAAAGACUUUUUGAAUACUAAUACUAAUACAAUAAUACUAUCAAUCAUUUGACAGAAAAUUAAUUAUGUCAAAGUGUUAAUGUUGAUAAGGUAACUAGAUUUUUAAAAAAGGUAAAAAGUAGGUAGAUAAGAUAUUUCAUUACCAGUGACGACCUUUACAAAAUUUAUUUUUAUUUGUCAUUAAAUACAUCUUACCAAUACUUAAUACAUUUUAUUAGGAAAUCUGUUGAAAUUUCAUAAAUAAUAUUUGUAACAAUACGCAAAUUAAUUAAUGUACAUAUUGAUAUGGCUGAAUAAGUAUUUAAAAGACCUUUCAAAUAAUGUAUUACAACACCCACAUUUCCAUUUAAAAAUAAAAAGGUAUCCUUUCGAAUAGCCUGUUUAAAAAUAAAAAUCGAAUUGUUUCGGGAUUUUACCUUAAAGUCGCAGACUUACGAAAUAACGAAUUUAUUCCUUUCAUUAGCACCACACUGUAUAUUAGUAUGUCGUGUUAUGAUAUAUAAUUGGUUGUGGACUUUUUGUAUAAAAUAUAAUAUGAAAAUAAACAGAAACUUCAUUUAGAACCA